ensembl:lncRNA
GGUUGGCCUUAGGGUACAAUCAACGGUCGAUGGUUUUGAUUUUAAUUCCAAACUCACCGACAGCGUUGAAUGUUCACUGAAGCAACCUCUAAACUCAGAAUUCUGUUGACUUUACAGCCUCUGUCAGAUGAAUGACACCAAAAUUUGGCAAAUAAUACUGAUUUGAAAGCUUGGAGAAAACACACCGUUCUGUGAAGCCACACUGCAAGACUGUCUCUGAUAAGAGUUGGGGCUGUUGAGAAGCCUUUGCCUGGUGUUUAUUGUUACCCAGCUCUCGCCUGUUAUAAGAAGAAGCCCUCGAAUGGAGCCACCCUGAGAGAACAGUCUCAGCAUGUUCUGAGCUCAAAGCAUAUGCUGAAAGAUGAAAAUCCUAAUUGCAGACUGAUGUGCCCAUGGUGUUUUGUUUUCUAUUUUAAAGGAGAGAGGCCAAUGUUCUUGUGCAAAGUGAAUUUUGAGCAAGGCAGAGCAGUUACGUGGGAGGUUUUGGGAGACCCAAGUAAAGUCUGCCUCUUAAUGACCAGGCACAAGCUCCAGGGAGGUUGGGGAUUAACAGCUCACAUGCUUGAAGGUGUGAUCCAUAUUCUGCAAAAUGAUCAGCUGUAGCAGUGAUAAAGGUGAUAUAUUUCCAAUUGUUUUACUUUUUAUUUUCAUUCAGAACCUGAGGAAAAAUGGUGUUAUUUAUUGACUGCCUCAAGAACUUCAAAUACAGUCCUUAAUGCAUUGCUUGAAACAAAUUAACAUAUCUUUGUUUCUUGAAUUCGAGCAAGAUAUUAUCAACACAUACACACACACAUACACACACUUCACUUUAUACUAUUAUUGCAAUACUGUAUUUAUUGUUUAAAUUUUGAUUCAGAAA